rnacentral:rRNA from 1 species
AGCGAACGCUGGCGGCAGGCCUAACACAUGCAAGUCGCACGAACCUUUCGGGGUUAGUGGCGGACGGGUGAGUAACGCGUAGGUAUCUAUCCAUGGGUGGGGGAUAACUCUGGGAAACUGGAGCUAAUACCGCAUGACACCUGAGGGUCAAAGGCGCGAGUCGCCUGUGGAGGAGCCUGCGUUCGAUUAGCUAGUUGGCGGGGUAAAGGCCCACCAAGGCGAUGAUCGAUAGCUGGUCUGAGAGGAUGAUCAGCCACACUGGGACUGAGACACGGCCCAGACUCCUACGGGAGGCAGCAGUGGGGAAUAUUGGACAAUGGGCGCAAGCCUGAUCCAGCAAUGCCGCGUGUGUGAAGAAGGUCUUCGGAUUGUAAAGCACUUUCGACGGGGACGAUGAUGACGGUACCCGUAGAAGAAGCCCCGGCUAACUUCGUGCCAGCCGCCGCCGUAA